UAUAGAACUAGGCUGGUAUACUAUUGGUACUACGGAGGCUACUAUGCUACUAAAUUGUUUUCAAUGAUGCGGGUUCCAAAUCGACGAUCGACUUCAUUAAACUUGAUCUAUAUUAUUGAAAAUAUUUGGAAACUAAAUUUCAUAAUUUUUCGGCAUCAUUUACCUAACAAACAAGUAAUCUAAAAAUAAACGACUGAAAAUAAAAAUCUCAUAAAAAAUAAUGAUAAAAGAUUUGAAUUUAAGAUCAGAGGCAUUGAUCUUACUCUAAAUAGUAAAAAAAAAUUUCUAUAAAAAUCUCAUCAGAUUUGAAUUGUUUUACACCCUUAAAUUCACAAACGCAUCACAUCUACCAUUAAAAUUGUUAAUUUUGAGACCUUUUGAUCACUAGCGAAAUAAUGUCGAAUAAUUAUGAAAUUUAAUUUCCAAAUAAUUUCAAUAAUGCAGAUCAAGUUUAACGGAGCCGAUCGUCGAUUAGGAAGUCGCAUCAUUAAAAACAACUUGGUAGCACGGAGACCUCUGUGCUACCGAUAGUAUACCAAUAUAUAUAUAUAUAUAUAUAUAUAUAUAUAUAUAUAUAUAUAGCACUAGGCUGGUAUACUAUUGGUACUACGGAGGCUACUAUGCUACUAAAUUGUUUUCAAUGAUGCGGGUUCCAAAUCGACGAUCGACUCCAUUAAACUUGAUCUAUAUUAUUGAAAGUAUUUGGAAACUAAAUUUCAUAAUUUUUCGGCAUCAUUUACCUAACAAACAAGUAGUCUAAAAAUAAACGACUGAAAAUAAAAAUCUCAUAAAAAAUAAUGGUAAAAGAUUUGAAUUUAAGAUCAGAGGCAUUGAUCUUACUCUAAAUAGUAAAAAAAAUUUUCUAUAAAAAUCUCAUCAGAUUUGAAUUGUUUUACACCCUUAAAUUCACAAACGCAUCACAUCUACCAUUAAAAUUGUUAAUUUUGAGACCUUUUGAUCACUAGCGAAAUAAUGUCGAAUAAUUAUGAAAUUUAAUUUCCAAAUAAUUUCAAUAAUGCAGAUCAAGUUUAACGGAGCCGAUCGUCGAUUAGGAAGUCGCAUCAUUAAAAACAACUUGGUAGCACGGAGACCUCUGUGCUACCGAUAGUAUACCAAUAUAUAUAUAUAUAUAU
rnacentral:lncRNA from 1 species